rnacentral:rRNA from 1 species
CCUACGGGAGGCAGCAGUGGGGAAUAUUGGACAAUGGGGGAAAGCCUGAUCCAGCGACGCCGCGUGAGUGAAGAAGUAUUUCGGUACGUAAAGCUCUAUCAGCAGGAAAGAAAAUGACGGUACUAGUCCAAGAAGCCCCGGAUAAAUACGUGCCAGCAGCCGCGGUAAUACGGAGGGGGCAAGCGUAAUCCGGAUUUACUGGGGGUAAAGGGAGCGUAGGCGGCAGCGCAAGUCUGGAGUGAAAUGCCCGGGUCCAACCCCGGAACUGCUCUUGAAACUGUGAAGAUGGAGUGCAGGAGAGGUAAGCGGAAUUCCCGGUGUAGCGGUGAAAUGCGUAGAUAUCAGGAGGAACACCGGCGGCGAAGGCGGCGUACUGGACGGAAACUGACGUUGAGGCGCGAAGGCGUGGGGAGCAAACAGGAUUAGAUACCCGAGUAGUC